rnacentral:lncRNA from 1 species
GUUCAGUCAUAAAAAGGUAUAGCUGUCAGAGAACUGGUACAAAACCUAACUAUCACUGAAAAGAACUCAGUAUUUUAUUACUUCUAACUCUUCUCCAAAGAAUGACUUUCCUCUUUGAGCAUCACCAGCACCAUUAUUAACAGUGCUUUUUAAUCUUUUCACUUCACCACUACUAUCCCACUAUUGUUAGGAUAAACCAAGUUUCUUUUUUCCUAACCAAGACCACCAUCAGCCCUUGGAAAAUACAUCUGUUUCUUUAAUUAAUCCUUUUCAUGUUCCACUUGCUGUACAACCACCUCACAAUAUCAGAAGUGAAGAACAACAACCACCUUCA